rnacentral:rRNA from 1 species
UACGUAGGGGGCAAGCGUUGUCCGGAAUCAUUGGGCGUAAAGAGCGCGUAGGCGGCCCAGUAAGUCCGCUCUGAAAGUCAGGGGCUCAACCCCUGAAUGCGGGUGGAUACUGCUGGGCUAGAGUCCGGAAGAGGCGAGUGGAAUUCCUGGUGUAGCGGUGAAAUGCGCAGAUAUCAGGAGGAACACCAGCGGCGAAGGCGGCGCUCUGGGCUGGAACUGACGCUGAGGAGCGAAAGCGUGGGGAGCGAACAGG